rnacentral:rRNA from 1 species
AGUUGAGCGGAGAUAUAUGGAGCUUGCUUUAUAUAACUUAGCAGCGAACGGGUGAGUAACACGUAGAUAAUCUAUCCUAUACUGGGGGAUAGCCCGAUGAAAGUUGGAUUAAUACCGCAUAUAGCUAUAUAGUUGCAUGAUUAUGUAGUGAAAGAUUUAUUGGUAUAGGAGGAGUCUGCGGCACAUUAGCUAGUAGGUGAGGUAAAGGCUUACCUAGGCGACGAUGUGUAGCCGGUCUGAGAGGAUGAACGGCCACAAUGGAACUGAGACACGGUCCAUACUCCUACGGGAGGCAGCAGUGGGGAAUAUUGCACAAUGGGGGAAACCCUGAUGCAGCAACGCCGCGUGAGUGAAGAAGGUUUUCGGAUUGUAAAGCUCUGUUAGCAGGGAAGAGGAAGGACGGUACCUGCAGAGGAAGCCACGGCUAACUACGUGCCAGCAGCCGCGGUAAUACGUAGGUGGCAAGCGUUGUUCGGAAUAACUGGGCGUAAAGGAUGCGUAGGCGGUUAAACAAGUUAUAUGUUAAAUAUAUAGGCUUAACCUGUAGAAAGCAUAUAAAACUGUUUAACUAGAGUGCAGGAGAGGUAAGUGGAAUUCCUAGUGUAGCGGUGAAAUGCGUAGAGAUUAGGAAGAACACCAGUGGCGAAGGCGACUUACUGGACUGUAACUGACGCUGAGGCAUGAGAGCAUGGGGAGCAAACAGGAUUAGAUACCCUGGUAGUCCAUGCUGUAAACGAUGGGUACUAGGUGUGGGUUGUGAAUAACAAUUCGUGCCGUCGCAAACGCAAUAAGUACCCCGCCUGAGGAGUAC